GAAGGAACUACAGAAGCUUGGUCAUUAGGUCACUCUUUAGGAGACCGAAGAUCCAAGUCUUUUAAUCCCUGAAGACUAAAUUUGAACAUGGGUCUACGCUACCUGGUGCUAAGUGGCCUUGAGGGUAAAACCAGGGCUCCGUGGAUGCAGGAAACAGAGCUAUCUUUGAAACCCAAGAAGAAAAAUAUUCUCAGUGGAACCAAAGUUGGCAUUUGCUCUGGUUCAUUGCCAAAGCCCAGGUAAGGCUGACAUUUGAUGCAAGUUCCAUCGCCGAAUUAAAGAAAAUUUCUUUCUAAUAAUUUGGUGAAAACCACUGCUAUUGUUUAGAU
rnacentral:lncRNA from 1 species